UAAAGACAUAAAUUGAGCCUCAGCUUCAUUAACAGCCUCUCUUCCUUGUUGCGGUGGUGCUGGUCGGUCAUGUUUAGGUGGAGAGACGAAGACCCAUGUGCAUGAAGCUCCAUUUACGGAUGUUCAGUGCCUGGACUGGAUUUAUCUUGAUGAGGUAACUGGAAAAGAGUCCACUGCUGGAUCACCCCAGUUUGUUUGUUUUUUGUUCUUUGUUGAAGCCUAAAAGGACAAAGCUGAAUGUUGUAGGGCAAGUUUAAAACCUAUAAGUAUGACUUGCUUCUGGGAAUGUCUUAUCUAUGCACAUGAAUAGGAUCCAAAUCCCUACUUAAACUAGUCUUGACACUGUGUGAACUGUUUCACUGGUAAAUAAAGUGUUAUCAAGUGUU